rnacentral:rRNA from 1 species
GAUGAACGCUAGCUACAGGCUUAACACAUGCAAGUCGAGGGGCAGCAUGAAGUUUGCUUGCAAACUUUGAUGGCGACCGGCGCACGGGUGAGUAACGCGUAUCCAACCUUCCCCUUAGUAGGGCAUAGCCCGGCGAAAGUCGGAUUAAUACCCUAUGUUGUAUGAAGAGGACAUCUGACUUAUACCAAAGAUUUAUCGCUAAGGGAUGGGGAUGCGUCUGAUUAGGUUGUUGGCGGGGUAACGGCCCACCAAGCCGUCGAUCAGUAGGGGCUCUGAGAGGAAGGUCCCCCACACUGGUACUGAGACACGGACCAGACUCCUACGGGAGGCAGCAGUGAGGAAUAUUGGUCAAUGGGCGCGAGCCUGAACCAGCCAAGUAGCGUGCAGGACGACUGCCCUAUGGGUUGUAAACUGCUUUUAUGCGGGGAUAAAGUGACGUACGUGUACGUUUUUGCAGGUACCGCAUGAAUAAGGACCGGCUAAUUCCGUGCCAGCAGCCGCGGUAAUACGGAAGGUCCUGGCGUUAUCCGGAUUUAUUGGGUUUAAAGGGAGCGCAGGCGGGAGGUUAAGCGUGACGUGAAAUGUAGCCGCUCAACGGCUGAACUGCGUCGCGAACUGGCUUUCUUGAGUGAGUACGACGUCAGCGGAAUUCGUGGUGUAGCGGUGAAAUGCUUAGAUAUCACGAAGAACCCCGAUUGCGAAGGCAGCUGACGAGUCCUUUACUGACGCUAAAGCUCGAAGGUGCGGGUAUCGAACA